rnacentral:rRNA from 1 species
UACGAAGGGUGCAAGCGUUGUUCGGAUUUAUUGGGCGUAAAGCGCGCGUAGGCGGACCUGUAAGUCAGAUGUGAAAUCUCGGUGCUCAACACCGAAACUGCGUCUGAAACUGCGGGUCUUGAAUCUUAGAGGGGGAGUGGGAAUUUCGCAUGUAGGGGUAAAAUCCGUAGAGAUGCGAAGGAACACCAGAGGCGAAGGCGCACUCCUGGACAAGUAUUGACGCUGAGGCGCGAAAGCGUGGGGAUCAAACAGGAUUAGAUACCCUGGUAGUCCACGCUGUAAACGAUGAGCACUAGAUAUUAUGGGAUUUGACCCCCGUAGUGUCGUAGCCAACGCGUUAAGUGCUCCGCCUGGGAAGUACGGUCGCAAGACUAAAACUCAAAGGAAUUGACGGGGGCCCGCACAAGCGGUGGAUUAUGUGGUUUAAUUCGAAGCAACGCGCAGAACCUUACCUGGGCUUGAAAUCCUACGAACCUGGCUUAAACGCUGGGGUGUCCUUCGGGAAAUGUAGUGACAGGCGCUGCAUGGCUGUCGUCAGCUCGUGUCGUGAGAUGUUGGGUUAAGUCUCGCAACGAGCGCAACCCCUAUCCUUAGUUGCCAGCAUUAAGUUGGGCACUCUAGGGAGACUGCCUGGGCUAACCAGGAGGAAGGUAGGGAUGACGUCAAGUCCUCAUGGCCCUUAUGUCCAGGGCUACACACGUAAUACAAUGGUCGGUACAAAGGGAUGCGAACUCGCGAGGGGGAGCAAAUCUCAAAAAACCGAUCUCAGUCCGGAUUGGAGUCUGCAACUCGACUCCAUGAAGUUGGAAUCGCUAGUAAUCGCGGAUCAGCACGCCGCGGUGAAUACGUUCCCGGGCCU